rnacentral:rRNA from 1 species
AUUGAACGCUGGCGGCAGGCUUAACACAUGCAAGUCGAGCGGGGUGAGGUGCUUCGGUACUGAUCCUAGCGGCGGACGGGUGAGUAAUGCUUAGGAAUCUGCCAUUUAGUGGGGGACAACAUUCCGAAAGGAAUGCUAAUACCGCAUACGUCCUACGGGAGAAAGCAGGGGAUCUUCGGACCUUGCGCUAAAUGAUGGGCCUAAGUCGGAUUAGCUAGUUGGUGGGGUAAAGGCCUACCAAGGCGACGAUCUGUAGCGGGUCUGAGAGGAUGAUCCGCCACACUGGGACUGAGACACGGCCCAGACUCCUACGGGAGGCAGCAGUGGGGAAUAUUGGACAAUGGGCGGAAGCCUGAUCCAGCCAUGCCGCGUGUGUGAAGAAGGCCUUUUGGUUGUAAAGCACUUUAAGCGAGGAGGAGGCUACCUGGAUUAAUACUCUAGGAUAGUGGACGUUACUCGCAGAAUAAGCACCGGCUAACUCUGUGCCAGCCGCCGCCGUAACAC